ACAGAAUUCUGUAGCAAUAGCCUGGACCUCGAAAUGCCAGGAAGCGUUUUCAAGAUCUAUUGUUGAUAAUAUAUAAUAUCUUACAAGUUAUUUAAUUCUCUAAUGUAUGGGAAGCAGCGUAGCAUCGUCCUUGCUGUUGCUAUGGUAUUUAUUGCUGUUGAGCCUUCAGGAAACCUCUCUGCAUCUCGGUUUCCUCAUCUAUAAAAUGGAGAUGAUAACUGUACUUACAUCAUGGAGCUGCUAUGAGGAUCAAAGAAGUUAUCAACACUUCAGAAUAUGGCCAGCACAUAGGAACAAUAUAUCUAUUUGCUAAAUCGAAGGAUAAAAAGAAACCUACUUUGUAUGGAAAAGGAGAAAGAAAAGAGUAAGAUUGAACUAUGCUUUGCUGCAUGGUGGGUUUGAUGAAAGUGGAGUCACGCUGAUUGGUGCUCAAGAUAAAUGUCUUAGGGGAAGACUCAUACCCAGUGGAAUUUUUUUUAGUGAAAUAUCGUGGCUCAUGGACUGUG
rnacentral:lncRNA from 10 species